rnacentral:rRNA from 1 species
UGUUGCUUGCAAGGGCGUAUGGUGGAUGCCUUGGCAGACAGGACCGAUGAAGGACGUUUGAGGCUGCGAUAUGCCUCGGGGAGCCGCCAACAGGGCUUUGAUCCGAGGAUUUCCGAAUGGGGGAACCCACCGACCGUCAUGGGUCGGUACCGGCUUCGGCCGGGGGGGUACGCAGGGAAGUGAAACAUCUCAGUACCUGCAGGAAAGGAUAUUCCGUGAGUAGUGGCGAGCGAAAGCGGAUGAUGGCCAAACCUUGCGCGUGUGAUACCCGUCGGGGGUUGCGCGCGGGGUGUUGCGGGAUCGCGUGCGCCGGCUCCGACGGGCCGGCCGGCAGUUGCAGAAAACCAUGUGUCAGGGGAACCGGGUUGAAUACCGGGCCGCAGAGGGUGAGGGCCCCGUACCUGAACGCGCAUGGUCUGCCGAUCGCGUCUCCCAAGUAGCACGGGUCCCGUGGAACCCCGUGCGAAUCCGCCCAGACCGUUGGGUAAGCCUGAAUAUUCCUGUCUGACCGAUAGCGAACGAGUACCGUGAGGGAAA